CAAGAUGAACAAACCUCACCCAGCAGAGCCCUAGCACAGCUACAGAGGGGACCACCUACCCAGCCCCGCUCCUUGGGAGGCUCCAGAUGAAUCGUGGCUUUGAGACAUCUCUCCCUGGGCACAGCCUCUCUACCACCUCCUCCUCAUCCCUGCUGCUGAUGGCUCCGUUGCUGCCACCCAGCAGCUCAGCUGAUGCCCCUGCCAUCCAGGGACCUGCACAGCACUCCCCAUGUCCCAGACAGCCAGACUCCUGAUAAAACAAUGACCAUCUCCCAGCUCAGCAGAAUGCUCCUAUGACUCUGCAGACCAUAUUUACAGCCAGAAUGGUAGAAUUCCAUGAACAAUACCUUGUUUCCUGACUGGCUUCCAGAAUAAUCGUUCAUACCUUAUUUUCUUAGGCUGUUACUGGAUAUUGUUCUUACUUCCAAAGAUUCAGAUGGCUGGUUGGGUUAAAAGACCUUGAGCAAAAUUCUGUACUGUGCAUA